AUACGUAGGUGGCAAGCGUUGUCCGGAAUUAUUGGGCGUAAAGCGCGCGCAGGUGGUUCCUUAAGUCUGAUGUGAAAGCCCCCGGCUCAACCGGGGAGGGUCAUUGGAAACUGGGGAACUUGAGUGCAGAUGAGGAUAGUGGAAUUCCAAGUGUAGCGGUGAAAUGCGUAGAGAUUUGGAGGAACACCCGUGGCGAAGGCGCCUGUCUGGUCUGAUACUGGCCCUGUGGCGUGAAGGCGUGGGGAGCAAUCAGGAUUAUAUACCCUGGUAUCCCACGCCGUAAACGAUGAGUGCUAAGUGUUGUGGGGUUUCCGCCCCUCAGUGCUUCAGCUAACGCAUUAAGCACUCCGCCUGGGGAGUACGGUCGCAAGACUGAAACUCAAAGGAAUUGACGGGG
rnacentral:rRNA from 1 species